GCGAGUAAGGCCUUGCCCUAACCGGCUCGGUCAGUCCCAUCAUAUACACCUUUAAUCUGUGAACCCGUUGUCCCGUGAGGUCGAAAGCUUCGGCGAUUAACCCGAGCGGUUCAGCAAACCUAUAAACCCUUUAAUCUAAUGGAAUGGAAGUCUUAAUAAAUCUAUA
rnacentral:misc_RNA from 1 species